rnacentral:rRNA from 1 species
GAUGAACGCUGGCGGCGUGCCUAAUACAUGCAAGUCGAGCGAACAGACGAGGAGCUUGCUCCUCUGACGUUAGCGGCGGACGGGUGAGUAACACGUGGAUAACCUACCUAUAAGACUGGGAUAACUUCGGGAAACCGGAGCUAAUACCGGAUAAUAUUUUGAACCGCAUGGUUCGAUAGUGAAAGACGGUUUUGCUGUCACUUAUAGAUGGAUCCGCGCCGCAUUAGCUAGUUGGUAAGGUAACGGCUUACCAAGGCAACGAUGCGUAGCCGACCUGAGAGGGUGAUCGGCCACACUGGAACUGAGACACGGUCCAGACUCCUACGGGAGGCAGCAGUAGGGAAUCUUCCGCAAUGGGCGAAAGCCUGACGGAGCAACGCCGCGUGAGUGAUGAAGGUCUUCGGAUCGUAAAACUCUGUUAUUAGGGAAGAACAAAUGUGUAAGUAACUAUGCACGUCUUGACGGUACCUAAUCAGAAAGCCACGGCUAACUACGUG